rnacentral:sRNA from 20 species
AGCUGUUCCCCUCUGGAGGUUCAUACCUUCAAACUCACGGGCCGCGGUUUUUCCGGCGGCCCUUUUUUCUUCCGCGC